rnacentral:lncRNA from 1 species
GAACAUCUUACGGAUGGCCCAGGGCUCCAAAGGCUCGUUUCCUAAGUGAGAGAGAGCCUGGCUGAAGCUGUAUUACCAUUCAUUCUCCAGCCUCCGAAGUCUCAAAGCAUCACUUCCACCAUACUCUAACUGUCAAGACAAACACAAAGGCCCAGAAACUGCCAGACUGUCUUCUGAAGUGGCUAUAAUAUUUACACUCCCAUCAGCAGUGUAGAAGGGGUCUCACUAUGUUGUCUGGAGUGCUGUGGUGGAGUGGAGUGGCUAUUCACAGGAUUCUUGGAAUGGACUGUAAAAGUCUGGAAUCAAGACUUUGUGUUUCCUCUCUAACAUGUAAAGAGCUUAGAAGUUGUCGCUAUUGCCCUUACAACAAAAUGAAGCUGGACAAACUGAAAAUCAAUGACUUUUCUUGGACUCACUAUACAGCUGAGUUUGCAGAGUAAACCACUACCCUGAAAUCUGGAAAGGCAGGUGCACCCACAGAUCCUCAGCUGAGAUCCAAUUACCUGAAAUAGAAGCUGCCAUUAGGAACACUUAAAAGAGCCUGUUCUGCUGGGACACAGAAUCACUUGCUCCAUCUCAUACAUUGAUGAUGAUUAAUUUGUAUGUGUACCUUCCAAAAAAGAUGGUUGUGUUUGAAUGGAGGCCUUCUGGACAGGAAAAUUGCAAAGUACAAUUAACAUUUGAGUCUGUCUGAGUCAUGAAGAAAUGGAGAUUACUGAAAAUAAUUCAUUUUGGUAUCUUCUUACAUCCUGAGAGACUAAUCUUUCCAAGUUCAUCUGAGGCUCCUCUUCUCCAUGACAACCUCAUCCAGGGAUUUCUUCCUGUCCUGGUGUUUUAUGACAUCAUCCUCAUCUCGCUUGUAAGGAUAAUAGCCUUCCUCCAAACCUCACACACUUUUGGAGGAGAUCACUUUUUUUAAAGUGCAUGGAAAUGUUUUGAAACAGUGAAAUCUAUAAUGAUAGGUUUCAUAAUUCUAACAUCCACACCAUAUGAAUCACAUCCUUCCUGAGAUAAUGAGCACACAAUUGCCUGGAUACCUGAAGGAAUGGAGACAGCGGCAGAAAACACUGCAGAGAGGUGGAAACAUCCGUUAAUAUUUUAAAAUCCCAUUACUGCUACCAACAAUAAUAAUGGAUGCAUAGAAAUAGAUCUGGAUUAGCUGAGCUUGAAACAGUCCAUCUCACACACACACAAAAGAAUUUCAGAUACAGUGAACCCACAUGUUGAAGCUUUCUAGUAUAAUAAAAAUUUCAACUGUUCUGUUGAAUCAUCUGCCUGAUUGGAGGCUACAGAAAAGAUGUCAUCUUAGGAGUGCUUGCUCUGAGUGAGGCUCAUCUUCAAAUCUGAAUGACCACAAGGAGAUUUGAUUAUACAUGUGAACACCUCAGAAGGCACAGCCCACCCAGAAGGCAGACAGGUCAGGCUGCUUUUUCUUCAUUGCUUGGAUUCAAUCCUCCGGGCGGCUCAGGCUCAAACAUAACUUAAGCAUGAUUAAACUUUAGAAGAAGCUGCCAGGAAGACUGUGAAAUCUUCAUGCCCAAGGAUCCCUAAAAUUAGGAGCAACAACCACUUGGCUCAGACGGUUUAUGGAGGCAAAGGUUUGGAUGGGAUUAGAGAUUUCUAAAUGUGAGUUCGUGUCCUCUGCCAGACCACCUUACUUCCACCAUUCCUCAGCAAAUCAAGAAAAACAGGAGAAAAGACAUGCCUUUCCAUAAGUUAAAUCUAUUCUGUUUUAAUUCUAUAUUAUAUCUGCUGUACAACUUCUUUUGUUUGUAACACCAUAUUGUUGCUAGUAACUGGAAAUUAAUUUUCACAUGCCUCAGCUUAGAAAAAUAAAAAGCAGCCCUGCAUCA